GCCUGGAGAGCUUAGUGGGUUAAGCAUCUGACUUCGGCUCAGGUCCUGAUCUCAUGAUUUGUGAGUUUGAGCCUUGCGUCGGGCU
rnacentral:tRNA from 1 species